rnacentral:rRNA from 2 species
GGGUUGUGAGGUUAAGCGACUAAGCGUACACGGUGGAUGCCCUGGCAGUCAGAGGCGAUGAAGGACGUGCUAAUCUGCGAUAAGCGUCGGUAAGGUGAUAUGAACCGUUAUAACCGGCGAUUUCCGAAUGGGGAAACCCAGUGUGUUUCGACACACUAUCAUUAACUGAAUCCAUAGGUUAA